UAAAAAAUUUUGGCGGUAUUUUAAGCUUAUUAGAGGAAUUUGCUCUGUGAUGGACACAACGCCUUAAUCUUACUUAAUUUAGUAAUUUAAAUCAGUUUGUAUACCACUAUAUUAAUUAUAUUGAAUAGUUAUAUUUAAAAUUUUUUUUUUAAAAAAUAUAUUAAGUCAAGGUGCAUCUAAUAAUUAUGAAUGAAGUGAAUUACAUUAAUUUUAAUGUAAUUUUUUACAUGAAAAAAUUAAUUAGGAUUUAAUAGUAAAAUACUAAUAUUAUGAGUAUUUGAAUCAAGCUCUAAAAUAUGCACAUAUCGCCCGUCGCUCUCAGAAGUGAGAUAAGUCGUAACAAAGUAAAAAUACUGGAAAGUGUUUUUUAAAAUGAAAUCAUUUGAUGUUUCAUUUACAAUGAAAAUUUUGUUGUUUAACCAUUUUAA
rnacentral:rRNA from 1 species